GGGGCCGUAAUGGUUUCGACAGGUUGGCGAAAGCCACCCCGUGAUGCAGGCGGAGAGUGAGUCAACUCUCGAUAAUUAAGGCUCAUAAAUAUAGUAAGUGCGAACAAUAUCGUUCCUUUCGCUCGUAAGCCAGCCACUGUCGCUGCUUAAAAACCUCUAACAGGUUAGUUCGAGCACUCAUCGUCCGACACCGUUAAGGGCGAUGGGUAAAAACCAACGGUUGCGCGCUUUAUACGCCUCUGGUCGGUAAAGUGCAAAGAAUUAACCAGAGAUCCCUUUCAUCCGGGAUAAAGGAUGAACCCCGUUGUGAGGGUUAGAACAACUAAGCCUGUGAAGGAUCGGACGGUAAAUAGCCAGCCUGGACAGCAGUUCGAUUCUGCUCGGCUCCAUUU
rnacentral:tmRNA from 1 species